CGAGCGGCGGACGGGUAAGGAACACAUCGGAAUCUACCCUGUCGUGGGGGACAACGUAGGGAAACUUACGCUAAUACCGCAUACGACCUUUGGGUGAAAGCGGGGACCCGCAAGGGCCCCGCGCGAUUGGAUGAGCCGAUGUCCGAUUAGCUAGUUGGCGGGGUAAUGGCCCACCAAGGCGACGAUCGGUAGCUGGUCUGAGAGGACGACCAGCCACACUGGAACUGAGACACGGUCCAG
rnacentral:rRNA from 1 species